rnacentral:rRNA from 1 species
AGUGAACGCUGGCGGCAGGCCUAAUACAUGCAAGUCGAACGGCAGCACAGUGGCGCUUGCUCCAUGGGUGGCGAGUGGCGGACGGGUGAGGAAUACAUUGGAAUCUGCCCAGUCGUGGGGGAUAACUUAGGGAAACUUACUCUAAUACCGCAUUCGCCCUUCGUGGGAAAGCCGGGGACCUUCGGGCCUGCCGCGAUUGGAUGAGCCCAUUUUCGAUUAGCUAGUUGGCGGGGUUAUGGCCCACCAAGGCGCCGAUCGAUAGCUGGUCUGAGAGGAUGAUCAGCCACACUGGGACUGAGAAAGGGCCCAGACGCCUAAGGGAGGAAGCAGUAGGGAAUAUUGGACGAGGGGGGAAAGCGGGAUACAGCAAAGCGGCGUGAGGGAAGAAGGACCAAGGGUGGUAAAGCGCUGAUGUCCGGGAAGAAAAGAAGCGGGCUAACACGGGGGUGUAAUGACGGUACCGGAAGAAUAAGCACCGGCUAACUUCGUG